GACAGAGGGGGCAAGCGUUGCUCGGAAUUACUGGGCGUAAAGGGCGCGUAGGCGGGAUGGCAAGUCGGUCGUGAAAUCCCUCGGCUCAACCGAGGAACGUCGAUCGAUACUGCUGGUUCUUGAGGAUUGCAGAGGAGACUGGAAUUCCCGGUGUAGCGGUGAAAUGGUGUAGAGAUCGGGAGGAACACCGGUGGCGAAGGCGGGUCUCUGGGCAAUU
rnacentral:rRNA from 1 species